rnacentral:snRNA from 1 species
GUACUCCUUUUCUUUUCAUGAUCAUGAAGGUGGUUUUCCCAGGGUGAGGCUCAUCCAUUGCACUGUGGGUGUGCUGACCCCUGCGAUUUCCCCAAAUGCGGGAAACUCGACUGCAUAAUUUGUGGUAGUGGGGGACUGCGUUCACGCUGUCCCCUG